GCAGUGGUGGUUCAGUGGUAGAGUUCUCGCCUUUCAUGCGGGGGACCUGGGUUUGAUUCCCAGCUGAUAUA
rnacentral:tRNA from 1 species